UGGCGAACGGGUGAGUAACGCGUGAGGAACCUGCCUCAAAGAGGGGGACAACAGUUGGAAACGACUGCUAAUACCGCAUAAGCCCACGGGUCGGCAUCGACCAGAGGGAAAAGGAGCAAUCCACUUUGAGAUGGCCUCGCGUCCGAUUAGCUAGUUGGUGAGGUAACGGCCCACCAAGGCGACGAUCGGUAGCCGGACUGAGAGGUUGAACGGCCACAUUGGGACUGAGACACGGCCCAG
rnacentral:rRNA from 1 species